ACAUGGAGCUAUCAUCUUCAGCAGACCAGCUCCCACUAGAUGAUGAGGCUCAUGCCAUUGCUGCUACGAUGCCUAAGCUGAAGCAUCUAGAAAUUGCCUACCAUCUCCUCAUCAGCACAGAAAGCGUAUUGAAGAUCCUUUCAAGCUGCCCUGAGCUUGAGUUCAUGAAUUUGACAGGAUGCUGGGAUGUGAAACUUGAUGGUAACUUCCUCAAGGAGAAGUUCCCAAAAGU
rnacentral:misc_RNA from 1 species